UACGUAGGGGGCGAGCGUUGUCCGGAGUUACUGGGCGUAAAGCGCACGCAGGCGGUCUGCUAAGUUUGGAGUGACAGUUGGUGGCUCAACCACCAAAGUGCUUUGAAAACUGACAGACUUGAGGGCUUCAGAGGGACACGGAAUUCCGGGUGGAGUGGUGAAAUGCGUAGAGAUCCGGAGGAACACCGAAGGCGAAGGCAGUGUCCUGGGGAGUACCUGACGCUCAGGUGCGAAAGCUAGGGGAGCGAACGG
rnacentral:rRNA from 1 species